AGUCUCAUUUUAUUUGUGCUGUGUGUUGGUUCAGUUCCCUGCACUCACAAGACCCCUUUCAUACUAAUCCUUCCCUUGAACUCCAACUUGGACAACAACGACGAGUGCGAGUCACCGCUGAAAUAAAACUUGAGGGAAACGGUGGCGCUCCCCGUUGGACCAAUCACAGCCCGCCAACUGGACGUUGCCCCCGGAAGCUACGGGAUUGUCCAAUCACCGACGCCCUUUGCGGUGACGCAGCCCGGGAAACUCUCAGUCAAAUGUGCCGGCGUCCCGUGUGCAGCAACAGUGCGAAGGAGGUCCGACGUCUUUACUGAGCUGCUGAACCCUUUCUGGCAGAAUGUGGCGCGUGAGUUUUUUUUCCAUGGCUCUGGCCCUCAGUCUUGUACCCGGGACUGCCGCGGCUCUGAAAGAGGGCGAAUGUGAAGUGUGCGUCACCUUCCUCGGGAAGUUCUACGAGUCGCUGAAGGAGGACGGUGUCCGAUUUAACACUGACGACAUCAAGAAGGCGCUCGUGAAGAGCUGCAGUGACGCCACGGGCAAAGACAACCGAUUCUGUUACUACAUCGGAGUGACGAGCGGCGUAACCAGAGUGAUCAACGAGGUGACAAGGCUGCUCAGCGCCGAAUUACCAGUGGAGAGCAUCUGCAAGAGGCUGAAGAUAAUGGACCCUCAGAUCUGCGACCUCAAAUACACUACUACUUCCUCUUCCUCCCUCUAAACAGCAGGGGUCAGUGUCUUGUAUGCUUGGCAUAUUCUAAAAUACUACUAUUGAUUCCCAAGAAGAUACUCAAUACCACAGAGAUUAAAAGUGACAAAUACUUAAAUAGACAUGGAAACACUUAUUUUUAUGAAAAAAAAGAAGCACAGCACCACUAUAUACAUUACAUAUAUAAAAUAAAAACAUGAAAUUAUAACACUUAAAGUAACAAUGUGUAGUAUUUGGACAUAAAUAGAUGAUUUUCAGAUUUCUCUCCGGUGUCAGUCUCACCAGCACUCUGUUAAACGCUGCCUUGUAGUAUGUAACUUUCUGUGGGUGAGCCGCCCAAGGCGUGUUCUGAGAGUGGCGUCACAGCCCCAACUCCACCCCCACCGCAACACUUUAUGGCAAAGGGUCAGGGCUGAGUUCAAUUUACACCAUGGCAGAUGCAAGAGUUCGUAGUGAGGAGUCCAUGAAGAGAAAGCGUGAAACCGACAGAGGAAGAUCUCGGACAAGAGUCAAUAUAGAUGCAUUCACAUCCUGGCGAGAACUGAGAACUACCAAAGGAUUUUCUUCUGAUUCUGAAGUGCCGAUGUUUCUACUCGACUACUGCUGCAGUUGAGUCCUCUGAUCUGCAGACCUGCUCGGUGCUGCUGAGAGACGCGACCAGCGCAACAUUUCAUCAUCCCUGACGGUUGUUCUGUUGGAACUGAUUGAAGAAAAAUAGUUUCUAACUCUGACAUCUGUGUCCACAGUCAACUCGAAAUAAACGUGUGAACGGUCUGAUCGCUGUUUGUCUGCU